GUGUCAGCCGCCGCGGUAAUACGGAGGGUGCAAGCGUUAAUCGGAAUUACUGGGCGUAAAGCGUGCGUAGGCGGUUCGUUAAGUCAGAUGUGAAAGCCCCGGGCUUAACCUGGGAACUGCAUUUGAAACUGGCGGACUAGAGUUGAGUAGAGGGGAGUGGAAUUUCAGGUGUAGCGGUGAAAUGCGUAGAUAUCUGAAGGAACACCAGUGGCGAAGGCGACUCCCUGGACUCAAACUGACGCUGAGGUACGAAAGCGUGGGUAGCAAACAGGAUUAGAUACCCGAGUAGUCC
rnacentral:rRNA from 1 species